AUUGAACGCUGGCGGCAGGCCUAACACAUGCAAGUCGAGCGAGCGGCGGACGGGUGAGUAAUGUCUGGGAAACUGCCUGAUGGAGGGGGAUAACUCCUGGAAACGGUAGCUAAUACCGCUUACCAUCUGAUGUGCCCAGAUGGGAUUAGCUGGUAGGUGUGGUAACGGCGCACCGAGGCGCCGAUCCCUAGCUGGUCUGUGAGGAUGACCAGCCACACUGGAACUGAGAAACGGUCCAGACUCCUACGGGAGGCAGCAGUGGGGAAGAUUGCACAAUGGGCGCAAGCCUGAUACAGCCAUGCCGCGUGGGUGAAGAAGGCCUUCGGGUUGUAAAGCACUUUCAGCGGGGAGGCGUUACCCGCAGAAGAAGCACCGGCUAACUCCGUGCCAGCAGCCGCGGUAAUUC
rnacentral:rRNA from 1 species